ensembl:lncRNA
CCGUGACAGAUCAUUAGAGAGCACUGAUGGCUGUAUCUUCACGCGGCAUCUAAAAAUACUCUAAAAACUCGAGUACUCGAGUAGGAGAAAUUAGUUCAACUGCUGUCACCGUGACUGAGCACUCUCGCAUUUUCAUACUCUAACAGAAGUCUUUUCUUUUUGAUGUGAGGUCUAUAAUCAGGGUCACGGUCAGGUGACUCCUCUCCGUCACUGCUUGAGGAAUCAGUGGAGUAAAGAGCGUUCACAUCGAAGGAAGAGUCUUCCUCCUCUUGCUUCCUCCUUUCCUCGCCGUCGCUGCCUUGCUCCACGGGCUCUUCCGGCCCGGCUGAGGCUUUCCUUCGGGUCGAUAGGUGACACUGCUCAGAGCUCAGCCUGGUAAGACUCACGUAGGGUUGUAGCAGCUUGGAGUGCAGCAGCACACCCUGACUGGGCAGCGAUAGCCUCAGCUGAGCUCUGAGGCCUCGGCUGGUUUUGUCCCUGCCUGCGGCAGAGGAGGAGCGUGAGGAGCGCCGGGCGGUUCCUGAUCGAGGUCUGCUGUUCUUUUGUGGCUGACGAUGGCGAAGAGAGCUCCGAGGGACGACUUUUUUAGAUGACUUGGAAGAUGGUGUGAUUUGAUUGGCAGCACAGGCGGAGAACAAACUCUCUGACUGAGCACCUUUCUGAGGAGGUCCAGAGACACUGAUGUCACUGGCUGUGGCUGGAACACCCAUCUGAGAGGUGUGAUGGUGUGGAGAACUUAGCAUCUCCGAACUGGAAGAAGCUGCCAGAAGAAGCUGCUUUGGUGAUGCUUGCUGGUGUUUACAGCUCGUCCCGAAGGAGCCGAUGUUCACCAGUCGGACCACCGGUGACAGCAGAGCAGGCAGCGGAGAGCCCCGAGCAGACGAGGCCUGAGGCAGAAUUUGUGCUUGUGAGGUGUCGCCUGAGGAUCCGAGUGACCCGGAGCUGCGCCUGUAUUUGGGUUUUGCUGUUCUGGAUGCUUGGACUGCUGCCCGAGGAGGGCUGGGGGUCUGCGAAGGUGGCUGAUCGGACGGACAGGGGAUGAGGUCAGAUGGUGUGAGGUCCUGCGAUGAAGAAGUAGAAGACGACGACGGGAAGAGCAGGGGAGAUGAGGAAACGUUCGGCUGAAGGAGAAGCUCCUCCGAGCAUCCCCGCAGGAUGCUCUUCACCCAUCGCUGGUGUUUGGAGCAGAACUGAGGGGUGGGGGCCGCCUCCUGAACACUUGUGCUGUUUCCCUGACUGCCCUCUUCCUCCGCUCUCUUGUUCACCUCAUCUUCCUCCUCUGGUUGCUGAUGUCCUCUAACGUCUGAGCUCCUGUCCGAAAAACUGAAGCUGUCUUCGGACACGUCGCGAGGAGCCUCCUCUGGAUGAACAUCUGGAUUAGUUUGGCUUAAAGCCGACUUAAAGAGUUGAGGCGACCGAGAUAUCGACGACUGACGACAGGAAGCAGCAUCUAAAGAAAGAAAACAGCGACACGCUUGAUACUGAUAACAGUGGAUAUUCAUAAUUUCACACAAAGAUCUAAUCCUGCUUGUGUCCUAACAGUAAAAAUAUACAGUUUAAAAGGAGAAAAUUACAUAAAUAAAAAGAAACAGCAGAAAUGGUAAAAGCCACGACUCAAAGCUAAAGAAAUCUACCCUAAAAUAAAAUAAAAUAUAAAGUUAUUAUCUUUUUAUGAUGUAAACUUGAGGUGAACUUUUCGUGUUGAGCUGUUUCUUACCGCAGUGCAGCAGCUUCUUCAGGGUCGCAGCUAUGGUGGUGGAGUCAGA